AUACCUUUCUCGGCCUUUUGGCUAAGAUCAAGUGUAGUAUCUGUUCUUAUCAGUUUAAUAUCUGAUACGUGGGUCAUUGACCCAACGAUAUUAAAUUUAUUUUUUAAGGGGGAGGAUCCACCACAGUAGCUUGCUAUUGGGUUCCUUGAGCAUCGCCUAUGUGUUACACUACUGCAUUGGCCUGGUGCACCCCAC